CUUGCCCGGGAACUACGAGCCCCAGCUUAAAACCCAAAGGACUUGGCGGUGCUUUAGACCCCCCUAGAGGAGCCUGUUCUAGAACCGAUAAUCCCCGUUCAACCUCACCCUCCCUUGUUUUUCCCGCCUAUAUACCGCCGUCGUCAGCCUACCCUAUGAAGGAUAAAUAGUAAGCAUAAUUGGUAAAACCUAAAACGUCAGGUCGAGGUGUAGCUUACGGGAGGGGAAGAAAUGGGCUACAUUCACUGACUCAGUGAACACGGACAAUGCCUUGAAACAAGCAUUUAAAGGAGGAUUUAGCAGUAAGAAAAGAAAAGAGUGCUUUUCUGAAACUGGCCCUGAAGCGCGCACACACCGCCCGUCACUCUCCCCAAAAAACCACCAUGCCCUAAAUAAAAUGAACCUGAAACAAAGGGGAGGCAAGUCGUAACAUGGUAAGUGUACCGGAAGGUGCACUUGGAUAAAC
rnacentral:rRNA from 1 species